CCUACGUGUGGCAGCAGUAGGGACUCUUGCACAAUGGGCGAAAGCCUGAUGGAGCAACGCCGCGUGGGUGAAGAAGGUCUUCGGAUCGUAAAACUCUGUGGUUAGAGAAGCAAGUGCGUGAGAGCAACUGUUCACGUCUCGACGGUAUCUAACCAGAAUGACACGGCUAACUACGUGCCAGCAGCCGCGUAAAUACGUAGGUGGCAAGCGUUAACCGGAUUUAUUGGGCGUUAAGGGAACGCAGGCGGUCUUAUAAGUCUGAUGUGAAAGCCUUCGGCUUAACCGGAGUAGUGCAGUGGAAACUGAGAGACUUGAGUGCAGAAGAGGAGAGUGGAA
rnacentral:rRNA from 1 species